AAUGAGCUCCAGGAGGGAAGGAAAUGGAAGGUGACAAUGAGAGAGGAGAUCAUCAGAGUGUGAGGUCCAUGAGAAUGAGGACAGCACGGCCUCCAGAGCAAGCCACACAAGGGCUGCCAAGGAUGUGGCCUUUCUGCAUGUCCUGGCUACUUCUCCCUGCCUGGUGCUUUUCCUGGCAGGCUGGCUGCUGAAAUGCUUCCUUUAGGGAAAGGCAAAUGGAACCAGAGAGCAAAGCACUUGGACACUGGUGUUCCCUCUGCCCAUCCCUCCCCUUCCUCCCUCCAGCCCCAGCUCUCCCUUCGAACCCGAACCCGUAGUUGAGCCCCUACUGGUGCCAGGCCCAGGAGAGGCAGAAAUGAGGCACCAGGCACACAGAGAUGAGAGAACAGUCCUUGUCCCCAAAGCACUGCCCUCUGGACCUUAGGCAAAUGUAGCUCUCCUUGAUUCACAUGGCAAAAUAUGAGGAAACUGAGUCAGAUGACUUCUUGAGAAUCCUCUGUGUUUUCAUAGCAAUGACUUUCAAGAGUUGUUUUAGUGGGGAAUCUCUGCUCUGGACAAUCUCUUUACACCUUAAAAUGCUUCUGGUCCUUCAGGUUCUAUCAACUGUGAUGUGUUCCAAAAAUACAAAGGUAUUCAAAUAAAAAAAGCAAAUAAA